GACGAACGCUGGCGGCGUGCUUAACACAUGCAAGUCGAACGGAAAGGCCCUGCUUUUGUGGGGUGCUCGAGUGGCGAACGGGUGAGUAACACGUGAGUAACCUGCCCUUGACUUUGGGAUAACUUCAGGAAACUGGGGCUAAUACCGGAUAGGAGCUCCUGCUGCAUGGUGGGGGUUGGAAAGUUUCGGCGGUUGGGGAUGGACUCGCGGCUUAUCAGCUUGUUGGUGGGGUAGUGGCUUACCAAGGCUUUGACGGGUAGCCGGCCUGAGAGGGUGACCGGCCACAUUGGGACUGAGAUACGGCCCAGACUCCUACGGGAGGCAGCAGUGGGGAAUAUUGCACAAUGGGCGGAAGCCUGAUGCAGCAACGCCGCGCGCGGGAUGACGGCCUUCGGGUUGUAAACCGCUUUCGCCUGUGACGAAGCGUGAGUGACGGUAAUGGGUAAAGAAGCACCGGCUAACUACGUGCCAGCAGCCGCGGUGAUACGUAGGGUGCGAGCGUUGUCCGGAUUUAUUGGGCGUAAAGGGCUCGUAGGUGGUUGAUCGCGUCGGAAGUGUAAUCUUGGGGCUUAACCCUGAGCGUGCUUUCGAUACGGGUUGACUUGAGGAAGGUAGGGGAGAAUGGAAUUCCUGGUGGAGCGGUGGAAUGCGCAGAUAUCAGGAGGAACACCAGUGGCGAAGGCGGUUCUCUGGGCCUUUCCUGACGCUGAGGAGCGAAGGCGUGGGGAGCGAACAGGCUUAGAUACCCUGGUAGUCCACGCUGUAAACGGUGGGUACUAGGUGUGGGGUCCAUUCCACGGGUUCCGUGCCGUAGCUAAUGCUUUAAGUACCCCGCCUGGGGAGUACGGCCGCAAGGCUAAAACACAAAGGAAUUGACGGGGCCCCGCACAAGCGGCGGAGCAUGCGGAUUAAUUCGAUGCAACGCGUAGAACCUUACCUGGGUUUGACAUGGAUCGGGAGUGCUCAGAGAUGGGUGUGCCUCUUUUGGGGUCGGUUCACAGGUGGUGCAUGCCUGUCGUCAGCUCGUGUCGUGAGAUGUUGGGUUAAGUCCCGCAACGAGCGCAACCCUUGUUCACUGUUGCCAGCACGUUAUGGUGGGGACUCAGUGGAGACCGCCGGGGUCAACUCGGAGGAAGGUGGGGAUGACGUCAAGUCCUCAUGCCCCUUAUGUCCAGGGCUUCACGCAUGCUACAAUGGCUGGUACAGAGAGUGGCGAGCCUGUGAGGGUGAGCGAAUCUCGGAAAGCCGGUCUCAGUUCGGAUUGGGGUCUGCAACUCGACCUCAUGAAGUCGGAGUCGCUAGUAAUCGCAGAUCAGCAACGCUGCGGUGAAUACGUUCCCGGGGC
rnacentral:rRNA from 1 species